UUUUUUUUUUUUUUUUUUUACUAUUCUGCACUAACAUAAGACAGUUCAACUCAGGAUAAAUUCCAUAAUUGUCAGAUAAUUUUAGCUCACAAGUCAAGACAGUUUUAUAUUUUGAAAUGAACACCACCAACAAAAGAACUAUCAGUGUCUUGAAGAGAUGGCCUUUUUAAUGGGGCCUGAGAGCAAAAACAAAGAAAUAAAAUGAAUAUUUCUAAACAAGUUCUAGAAAGAUCUUCACAGGAAAAAAAAGAAAGAAGCAGAAACUUUGGAAAAAACAAUCCAUAAAAGAAUAAAUAUUUUCUUAGCACCAGAAUCACAAAUGAAAACAAGAAAAAGCAGGAGGAAAUAUUUUUUUUCAUCUUACAAGACAUCAUGUCCUUAACUUGAAAGAUUUCAGUAGAACUUCAGACACUGAACAGAUUUCAGAGAACUGUAGCCAUUCUUUGUCUUGAGGUUCUUUGUCUUUAUAACAGUUGAUCUUAACAAAAUUGAAGAUUUAAAAAAUGAGGUUAUUGUUCCAUUUUACAAUGCAGGUUUUCAAAAUGAAGUAAAAGCCACUGAAAAUAACUGUUAUCUUAAAUAGGUCAUUUCAAAUAAAGAAGACUGGGUUCUGGGCAUGACAUAAAAAUCUUAAAGAAAGCUUUGCUCUGUACAUUUGAAAUUCACCAACUUUUGUAAGUCUGCAUUCUCAAACAUGGAGAAUAGUUAUAUUAUACAGGUCAACUUCAAGUCACAGAAAAACUAACAAAAACUAGAACUGACAGUGUAUAAAAUCACUUAAAGGAAAAAGACUUUUCAGGCUUUGAAGUACCAGGAAGAAAAGCAUAUAGAAAAGAUGAAUAAUUAUGGGAAAAAAUUAAAUACACACAUGUUGUAAGCUAAAAAAAGAGGAAAACAUGGAAAAACCAAAGAAUCACUUUGUAAGAAGUGCAAAAAGGAAACAAUAAAUACAUAAAUAUGUUUAACAUAAAAAGAGCUUGUAUGUGUUAUUCCCACUCUCCUAAUCCCCUCCCCACCCCCAAUGGUUUCCCCUAUGGUAACCAUAGGAGUGGUUUUGAAAGCUGUAAGUUUGUUUCUAUUUUCCCUAUGGUCACCAUAAGAUUGGUUUUGAAAUGUGUGAGUUUGUUUUGUUUUAUAAGUUAUUUUGUAUAAUUUUUAUUAGAUUCUACAAGCAAUAUCAUACAAUAUUUAUCCUUCUCCGUCUGAUUUAUUUCACUCAAUAAGAAUCUACUGCAAAGCACAGGGAAAUCUACUCUAUAGCUUGUAAUAAGCUAUACAGAUAAAAGAAUGAAUUUAUGUAUAUUAAUUCAUAUGAUCUCUAGAUAAAUAGAUUCUCUCUCCCUCUCUCUCUCUUUCUCUCUCUCUAUAUAUAAACUGAUUGACUUUGCUGUACACGUGAAACUAAUACAACAUUGUAAGUUAACUAUACUCCAAAAAAAGUUUUUUUAAAGAGUCUGUACAAAUGAAGAAGAAACGCUCUAAGACCCUAAUAAAUAAAUUGGCAAGAAACACUGUUUUAUUUUGCUAGAGGUGCUAUAACAAAAUACUACAGGCUGAAUGGUUUAAGGAACAGAAAUUUAUUAUCUCACAGUUCUAGAAGCCAGAAGUCUGAGAUCUAGCUGCUGGCAGGUUGGGUUUCUUCUGGGAUCUCUCUCCUCUGCGUAAAGAUGGAUGCUUUCUUUCUGUGUCCUACAUGGUUCUCUCUUGGUCUUCGUGCUUCCUGUGUCCUAAUCUCUUUGUAUAAGGAUACUAGUCAUAUUGAAUUAGGACCCACCCAUAUGACCUCAUUUUCCCUUACUAUCUCUUUAAAGUCCUUAUCUCCAAAUACAGUCACAUUUUGAGGUAUAAGGGGUGAGGACUUCAACGCAGGAAUUUAGGAUACAACUCAUCUCAGAACAGCAAUAAGCAACUCAAAAAAAAAUAUUGUCUAAAAAACAUUAAAAUGCUUGCUAAAAGGAAUGUUAAUUAAAAGUAAAGUAAGAUUCUAUUUUUUGUUUGCAAAACUAGUAAUGGUUGAAAAAACAUUUUAAUACUGCUAGAAUUUUAAUGCUCUCAGGGAUUCAGUUCAAUGAGGACACUGAAUGCUACAUACAGAAAUGUAAAUUGGCAAACCAUUUUGGAAAACACAUUUGCAAUAUAAUUCAGGAAUGUAAAAAAUAUUAAACUUUUGAUACAGAUCAAUAUAAACAAGAAAAAGAUAAUAAAAAUAUAUCUAGAGAGCAGCAUAUUUCCUUUUGGGAGAUAUCUUUACUGAAAAAUGAUCCAUCUGAGCAUUAUUUACAAUCCUAAAAAUAUUUGAAACAAUUUAUAUGUCCACAAUGGGGAAAUUUGUAUAUAAAAUCUACCCUUGCUGAUAUGUUAUGCAGCUACAAAAAUAUUUAUGAAGACCAUGAAAAACAUAAAAUAUCUAUAUUUUUAUAUUUUAAAAAUAAAGCAGGAUACAAGGAAUAUGUUAAAAAGAUACAUAGCAUAAAAAGAGGCAAUAUGGAGUUCCCAUUGAGGCUCAGUGGAAAGGAAUCUGGCUAGCAUCCAUGAGGAUGCAGGUUUGAUCCCUGGACUUGCUCAAUGGGUUAAGGAUCCAGGUUGUCACUGUUGUGGCUCAGGUCACUGCUCUGGCGCAGGUUUGAUCCCUGGCUUGUUAACUUCUGCAUACCACAGGUGCAGCCCCCCAAACUCAGAAAAAUCAAAUUUACAGCUCUUUAUUUUGGAUCAUUUUAUGCAAUAAAAAUACCAUAAGGGCAAUGAUUUCAAACACGGUCUCUCAGAAUUGAUGUGAUCCAAACAUGUUUUCAAAAUUGAAUGGAAGAUAUGAUCCAAGCUCUUGGUAUUUCAGUUUUCUUCCCCAUGAGGGAAGAAUGCAAGACUUGUUUCUCUGUGCACAUGCCCAAUGGGAAAUCAAUGGUGAACCUAACUGGUGAUGGGGAAUCAAUGGUGUUCCUAUCAAAACAAUUAGGCAGCAAACAAAUUUUCCAAAGCCCAUAUCCUCAAGGAGUGUUUUGUCAGGAGUCAUGCUGUCCCUCAGUGAAAGUUUACCUUGAACUUGAUGACUGUCAUUGUUCUGCUGCCUUUGAGGUUCAAACGGAGGAACAGUGUGACAAGUGCAAAUUGUUCACUGCUCUGACCUUAAUUGACACCACUGCUAGAUGCCACCCACAAACAGGCAAGUGGUAAUUACGAUGAAAAAGAACUUGACCACCCCUCAAAUUUCUCUCCAUCCCUGUCCAAUAGAGCCUCACUCACGCUGGGAUAGGUCAUUGUGAUAUUCACCCCAUAAGGGGCUUCAUCAUUUGACUUCUGCUCACUUCUGCACCUACAUCUCUCCCCACAGCCUCUCAAAUGCUAAGCUGCCACCGCAUGGAGAGUCGGAGCCCUCUUCACUCUUUUGGACCUUGGAGUAGAAGAAGAGCAGGGCAUGCCUGCUUAUAAUACAGGAUCCUUUCUGAACCCUGACUCCUUGCUGACUUUCCUGUUCUUUAUUUUUCCCCUUUGAGUAUUCUUUCCAUCACUUCAUAUUUCACAAGCAAAACUAUAUCUUCUACCCUGAUAUGCUAUCUAAGCAUAAAACUUGCACAACGAAAGGAUCUAAAACAUUUUUUAAUAAGUGAAUGGAAUGAAAACCAGAGUUCUGUUCUAUGACAUUCAGCACGUUGUUUAAAUGCCCCAUGCUUCAUUAUUUAUCAUGUAUAAAAUUAUUUUUCACAACAGCACUGCUUAAGGAUUAAAUGAUAGAGUAUACAAAUAUAUUUCAUAAACUCUAAAAUAUCUUAUAAAUGAAAGGAUUAUGACCAUCAUUUUCAUUUAAAGAAAUUCUAAAGACCCACCAAAGUAUGUCCAAUUCACUGAUACUAUGUGGAAUUAGACACAGAAAUCACCUUACAGGAUGUGACUCCAUAGAAUUUUGAUGGCUCAUACAUAUUUCAGGGCUGCAAGGAAAUGAGGAGGGGAAAAGCAGAAAUAAAGAUGCUAAUGUGAAGGAGAAUUUUCAUCAUGAUUUCAGAGCCCAGAGACCUUCAUCGUCCUGCUCAGACAUGAUACCAGCAUCUUUUUCCCUCCUAAUCUCCAGGUCUGAGGCUAUGCUGGGGAUCAGGGGACCGCGGUUGAGCUUGAAGAUGGCUUUACUCUCAGACAAAUGGAGGCCACCAGCAUC
rnacentral:lncRNA from 1 species